rnacentral:rRNA from 1 species
GAUGAACGCUGGCGGCGUGCCUAAUACAUGCAAGUCGAGCGAAAAGACGAUGAGCUUGCGCCUUGCACGCUAGCGGCGGAUGGGUGAGUAACACGUAGGUCACCUACGUUAACUACUGGGAAAACCUCGGGAAACCGGAGCCGACACGGGAUAAAAAUUCGAACCGCACGAUUCGUCACGGAAAGAUGGCUUUGCUAACCAGUAUAGAUAGAUCUGUGGCUGAUUAGCUAGUUGGUGAGGUAACGGUUUACCAAGGCAACGAUCCGUAGCCGACCUGAGAGGAUGAUCGGCCACACUGGAACUGAGACACGGUCCAGACUCCUACGGGAGGCAGCAGUGGGGAAUCUUCCACAAUGGGCGAAAGCCUGACGGAGCAACGCCGCGUGAGUGAAGAAGGUCUUCGGGUCGUAAAACGCUUUUGUUAGGGAAGAACAAGCGUUUACGUAUCUGUGCGCGUCUUGACGGUACCUGAACAAAAAGCCACGGCUAACUACGUG